rnacentral:rRNA from 1 species
GAGGAAUGUAUAGCAAUAGCUAGUUGCAUCAUAGUAGAUAUGAUGCAAGAUCGACUAUGUUGAAUAAAAUUCUAGGUAGAAUUAUGAUAAUGACAUUGUCUGCCUAUGUGUCUUGACCAAAUUACGUGCCAGCAGUCGCGGUAAUACGUAGAAGACUAGUGUUAUUCAUGUUUAAUCGGUUUAAAGGGUACCUAGACGGUAGAUCAAGCUUUCUAAUAAAGGAAAAGGACUAGUUUACUAGAGUUACUUAUGAGGGGGUAUUAAAGUACUGCUGGUGUAGAGAUGAAAUUCUGUCAUACCUCUUUUCAAAAGAAAAACCAUGGCACAGGUAUAGGCGAAGGCAUCCCCUUAUGUGAUAACUGACGUUGAGGGACGAAGGCUUUGUGUAGCGAACAGGAUUAGAUACCCCAGUAGUCGAAGCAGAAAAUGAUGAAUGUCAUAGAUUAGAUAUAUAAGUUUAUUCUAUAAAUGAAAGUGUAAGCAUUCCACCUCAUGAGUAAUUUGGCAACAUUGGAACUGAAAUCAUUAGACCGUUUCUGAAACCAG